UCCCAUUUUCAUAUUGAUGUUUUAGCACAAACAUCAAAGGGACUUGAAAAGCUGAAAAGCAUCUGUAAGAAGGCCAUGUGCAGCAGUCUGAAGUGUAGGGAUGAUUUGGUGGACCGUCUGUCCAAGUAAAAGUUAGUGGCAUCACCAGCUGAGAUGUCUACGUCGUUCCAAAGUGCAAGAGAUGCUCCACGGCUGAAUAUCUGGAUCCCUUGAGGCUAUUACUGCAGCACCUUUAUUCCUGGAGUGGACAGAGACCAUGGGUCAUAAAUGAGAACAGGCGCAUGACUGUCAGGGCAGUGCUGACCUUCUCUUGUCAUAGUGCUGUGUUCGGGCCUCUUCAUCAAGCUGAGGGAGACCUGGUGGGGACCUGUGCAAAGAGCAAUGUUCGCAACACCGAAUUUUUCUCUUCUAACAGAGUUCCCUAAUCACGAUCAAGCAAUUACCUCUCUCCACCGA